rnacentral:tRNA from 1 species
CCCCUGGUGGCUUAGAGGUUAAAGUGUCUGCCUCCAAUGCAGGAGACCUGGGUUCGAUCCCUGGGUUGGGAA